rnacentral:rRNA from 1 species
AACGAACGCUGGCGGCGUGCUUAACACAUGCAAGUCGAACGGAUCAAGGGGCUUGCUCCUUGAUUAGUGGCGCACGGGUGAGUAACGCGUGGAUAAUCUGCCCGACGAUCUGGGAUAACAUCUCGAAAGGGGUGCUAAUACCGGAUAAGCCCACAAGAUCUUCGGAUCUUGCGGGAAAAGAGGGGGACCUUCGGGCCUCUUGUCGUUGGAUGAGUCCGCGUACCAUUAGCUAGUUGGCGGGGUAAAGGCCCACCAAGGCUACGAUGGUUAGCUGGUCUGAGAGGAUGAUCAGCCACACUGGAACUGAGACACGGUCCAGACUCCUACGGGAGGCAGCAGUGGGGAAUUUUGCGCAAUGGGGGAAACCCUGACGCAGCAACGCCGCGUGAGUGAUGAAGGCCUUCGGGUCGUAAAGCUCUGUCUAGAGGAAAGAAGUGUAUGGCAGCCAAUACCUGUCAUACUUGACGGUACCUCUGAAGGAAGCACCGGCUAACUCCGUGCCAGCAGCCGCGGUAAUACGGAGGGUGCGAGCGUUGUUCGGAUUUAUUGGGCGUAAAGCGCGUGUAGGCGGUUUCUUAAGUCUGAUGUGAAAGCCCCGGGCUCAACCUGGGAAGUGCAUUGGAUACUGGGAGACUUGAAUACGGGAGAGGGUAGUGGAAUUCCUAGUGUAGGAGUGAAAUCCGUAGAUAUUAGGAGGAACACCGGUGGCGAAGGCGGCUACCUGGACCGAUAUUGACGCUGAGACGCGAAAGCGUGGGUAGCAAACAGGAUUAGAUACCCUGGUAGUCCACGCCGUAAACGAUGAGAACUAGGUGUUGCGGGUAUUGACCCCUGCAGUGCCGCAGCUAACGCAUUAAGUUCUCCGCCUGGGAAGUACGGUCGCAAGACUA